rnacentral:piRNA from 1 species
CCGACAGGAAAGGAACUCACAGA